ACCCUUUCAAGGUGGCAGCUGGAGAGUUUCCAGUACUCUACCAGUCACGACUGCAGGAGGGAGAGUCAAGCAGAGGCCUAUCCAUUCUACUCCUAGUUUGGGCAGUGGCUAGUGAGUGGAAGACAAUUUGCUACAAGU
rfam:Ornithorhynchus anatinus chromosome X1, whole genome shotgun sequence.